rnacentral:rRNA from 1 species
UGCGUAGGUGGGCAGGUAAGUCAGUGGUGAAAUCUUCAAGCUUAACUUGGAAACUGCCAUUGAUACUAUUUGUCUUGAAUUAUCUGGAGGUAAGCGGAAUAUGUCAUGUAGCGGUGAAAUGCUUAGAUAUGACAUAGAACACCCAUUGCGAAGGCAGCUUACUACGGAUAUAUUGACACUGAGGCACGAAAGCGUGGGGAUCAAACAGGAUUAGAUACCCUGGUAGUCCACGCCCUAAACGAUGGAUACUCGACAUCAGCGAUACACUGUUGGUGUCUGAGCGAAAGCAUUAAGUAUCCCACCUGGGAAGUACGACCGCAAGGUUGAA